rnacentral:rRNA from 1 species
GUGCUUGCAUCAUGAUUUACAUUUCCGUGAGUGGCGAACUGGUGAGUAACACGUGGGAAACCUGCCCGGAAGCGGGGGAUAACACCUGGAAACAGAUGCUAAUACCGCAUAACAACUUGGACCGCAUGGUCCGAGCUUGAAAGAUGGCUUCGGCUAUCACUUCUGGAUGGUCCCGCGGCGUAUUAGCUAGAUGGUGAGGUAACGGCUCACCAUGGCAAUGAUACGUAGCCGACCUGAGAGGGUAAUCGGCCACAUUGGGACUGAGACACGGCCCAAACUCCUACGGGAGGCAGCAGUAGGGAAUCUUCCACAAUGGACGAAAGUCUGAUGGAGCAACGCCGCGUGAGUGAAGAAGGGUUUCGGCUCGUAAAACUCUGUUGUUAAAGAAGAACAUAUCUGAGAGUAACUGUUCAGGUAUUGACGGUAUUUAACCAGAAAGCCACGGCUAACUACGUGCCAGCAGCCGCGGUAAUACGUAGGUGGCAAGCGUUGUCCGGAUUUAUUGGGCGUAAAGCGAGCGCAGGCGGUUUUUUAAGUCUGAUGUGAAAGCCUUCGGCUCAACCGAAGAAGUGCAUCGGAAACUGGGAAACUUGAGUGCAGAAGAGGACAGUGGAACUCCAUGUGUAGCGGUGAAAUGCGUAGAUAUAUGGAAGAACACCAGUGGCGAAGGCGGCUGUCUGGUCUGUAACUGACGCUGAGGCUCGAAAGUAUGGGUAGCAAACAGGAUUAGAUACCCUGGUAGUCCAUACCGUAAACGAUGAAUGCUAAGUGUUGGAGGGUUUCCGCCCUUCAGUGCUGCAGCUAACGCAUUAAGCAUUCCGCCUGGGGAGUACGGCC